rnacentral:rRNA from 1 species
AUUGAACGCUGGCGGCAGGCCUAACACAUGCAAGUCGAGCGGAUGAAGGGAGCUUGCUCCUGGAUUCAGCGGCGGACGGGUGAGUAAUGCCUAGGAAUCUGCCUGGUAGUGGGGGAUAACGUCCGGAAACGGGCGCUAAUACCGCAUACGUCCUGAGGGAGAAAGUGGGGGAUCUUCGGACCUCACGCUAUCAGAUGAGCCUAGGUCGGAUUAGCUAGUUGGUGGGGUAAAGGCCUACCAAGGCGACGAUCCGUAACUGGUCUGAGAGGAUGAUCAGUACACUGGAACUGAGACACGGUCCAGACUCCUACGGGAGGCAGCAGUGGGGAAUAUUGGACAAUGGGCGAAAGCCUGAUCCAGCCAUGCCGCGUGUGUGAAGAAGGUCUUCGGAUUGUAAAGCACUUUAAGUUGGGAGGAAGGGCAGUAAGUUAAUACCUUGCUGUUUUGACGUUACCAACAGAAUAAGCACCGGCUAACUUCGUG